rnacentral:rRNA from 1 species
GAUGAACGCUGGCGGCGUGCCUAAUACAUGCCAGUCGAGCGAACGGACGAGAAGCUUGCUUCUCUGAUGUUAGCGGCGGACGGGUGAGUAACACGUGGAUAACCUACCUAUAAGACUGGGAUAACUUCGGGAAACCGGAGCUAAUACCGGAUGAUAUUUUGAACCGCAUGGUUCAAAAGUGAAAGACGGUCUUGCUGUCACUUAUAGAUGGAUCCGCGCUGCAUUAGCUAGUUGGUAAGGUAACGGCUUACCAAGGCAACGAUGCAUAGCCGACCUGAGAGGGUGAUCGGCCACACUGGAACUGAGACACGGUCCAGACUCCUACGGGAGGCAGCAGUAGGGAAUCUUCCGCAAUGGGCGAAAGCCUGACGGAGCAACGCCGCGUGAGUGAUGAAGGUCUUCGGAUCGUAAAGCUCUGUUAUUAGGGAAGAACAUAUGUGCAAGUAACUGUGCACAUCUUGACGGUACCUAAUCAGAAAGCCACGGCUAACUACGUG